rnacentral:rRNA from 1 species
GGUUAAGCGACUAAGCGUACACGGUGGAUGCCUUGGCAGUCAGAGGCGAUGAAGGACGUGCUAAUCUGCGAAAAGCGUCGGUAAGGUGAUAUGAACCGUUACAGCCGGCGAUGUCCGAAUGGGGAAACCCAGUGCAAUUCGUUGCACUAUCGUUAACUGAAUACAUAGGUUAACGAGGCGAACCGGGGGAACUGAAACAUCUAAGUACCCCGAGGAAAAGAAAUCAACCGAGAUUCCCCCAGUAGCGGCGAGCGAACGGGGAGCAGCCCAGAGUCUGAAUCAGCUUGUGUGUUAGUGGAACGGUCUGGAAAGUCCGACGGUACAGGGUGAUAGUCCCGUACACCAAAAUGCACAGGCUGUGAACUCGAAGAGUAGGGCGGGACACGUGGUAUCCUGUCUGAAUAUGGGGGGACCAUCCUCCAAGGCUAAAUACUCCUGACUGACCGAUAGUGAACCAGUACCGUGAGGGAAAGGCGAAAAGAACCCCGGCGAGGGGAGUGAAAAAGAACCUGAAACCGUGUACGUACAAGCAGUGGGAGCACCUUCGGGUGUGACUGCGUACCUUUUGUAUAAUGGGUCAGCGACUUAUAUUCUGUAGCAAGGUUAACCGUAUAGGGGAGCCGCAGGGAAACCGAGUCUUAACUGGGCGUUAAGUUGCAGGGUAUAGACCCGAAACCCGGUGAUCUAGCCAUGGGCAGGUUGAAGGUUGGGUAACACUAACUGGAGGACCGAACCGACUAAUGUUGAAAAAUUAGCGGAUGACUUGUGGCUGGGGUGAAAGGCCAAUCAAACCGGGAGAUAGCUGGUUCUCCCGAAAGCUAUUUAGGUAGCGCCUCGUGAACUCAUCUUCGGGGGUAGAGCACUGUUUCGGCUAGGGGGUCAUCCCGACUUACCAACCCGAUGCAAACUACGAAUACCGAAGAAUGUUAUCACGGGAGACACACGGCGGGUGCUAACGUCCGUCGUGAAGAGGGAAACAACCCAGACCGCCAGCUAAGGUCCCAAAGUCAUGGUUAAGUGGGAAACGAUGUGGGAAGGCACAGACAGCCAGGAUGUUGGCUUAGAAGCAGCCAUCAUUUAAAGAAAGCGUAAUAGCUCACUGGUCGAGUCGGCCUGCGCGGAAGAUGUAACGGGGCUAAACCAUGCACCGAAGCUGCGGCAGCGACACUAUGUGUUGUUGGGUAGGGGAGCGUUCUGUAAGCCUGCGAAGGUGUGCUGUGAGGCAUGCUGGAGGUAUCAGAAGUGCGAAUGCUGACAUAAGUAACGAUAAAGCGGGUGAAAAGCCCGCUCGCCGGAAGACCAAGGGUUCCUGUCCAACGUUAAUCGGGGCAGGGUGAGUCGACCCCUAAGGCGAGGCCGAAAGGCGUAGUCGAUGGGAAACAGGUUAAUAUUCCUGUACUUGGUGUUACUGCGAAGGGGGGACGGAGAAGGCUAUGUUAGCCGGGCGACGGUUGUCCCGGUUUAAGCAUGUAGGCUGGUUGUCCAGGCAAAUCCGGAUAAUCAAGGCUGAGGUGUGAUGACGAGGCACUACGGUGCUGAAGUAACAAAUGCCCUGCUUCCAGGAAAAGCCUCUAAGCAUCAGGUAACAUUAAAUCGUACCCCAAACCGACACAGGUGGUCAGGUAGAGAAUACCAAGGCGCUUGAGAGAACUCGGGUGAAGGAACUAGGCAAAAUGGUGCCGUAACUUCGGGAGAAGGCACGCUGGUGUGUAGGUGAAGUCCCUGCGGAUGGAGCUGAGACCAGUCGAAGAUACCAGCUGGCUGCAACUGUUUAUUAAAAACACAGCACUGUGCAAACACGAAAGUGGACGUAUACGGUGUGACGCCUGCCCGGUGCCGGAAGGUUAAUUGAUGGGGUUAUCCGUAAGGAGAAGCUCUUGAUCGAAGCCCCGGUAAACGGCGGCCGUAACUAUAACGGUCCUAAGGUAGCGAAAUUCCUUGUCGGGUAAGUUCCGACCUGCACGAAUGGCGUAAUGAUGGCCAGGCUGUCUCCACCCGAGACUCAGUGAAAUUGAACUCGCUGUGAAGAUGCAGUGUACCCGCGGCAAGACGGAAAGACCCCGUGAACCUUUACUAUAGCUUGACACUGAACAUUGAGCCUUGAUGUGUAGGAUAGGUGGGAGGCUUUGAAGCGUGGACGCCAGUCUGCGUGGAGCCAACCUUGAAAUACCACCCUUUAAUGUUUGAUGUUCUAACGUUGGCCCCUUAUCGGGGUUGCGGACAGUGUCUGGUGGGUAGUUUGACUGGGGCGGUCUCCUCCCAAAGCGUAACGGAGGAGCACGAAGGUUAGCUAAUCCUGGUCGGACAUCAGGAGGUUAGUGCAAUGGCAUAAGCUAGCUUGACUGCGAGCGUGACGGCGCGAGCAGGUGCGAAAGCAGGUCAUAGUGAUCCGGUGGUUCUGAAUGGAAGGGCCAUCGCUCAACGGAUAAAAGGUACUCCGGGGAUAACAGGCUGAUACCGCCCAAGAGUUCAUAUCGACGGCGGUGUUUGGCACCUCGAUGUCGGCUCAUCACAUCCUGGGGCUGAAGUAGGUCCCAAGGGUAUGGCUGUUCGCCAUUUAAAGUGGUACGCGAGCUGGGUUUAGAACGUCGUGAGACAGUUCGGUCCCUAUCUGCCGUGGGCGCUGGAGAAUUGAGGGGGGCUGCUCCUAGUACGAGAGGACCGGAGUGGACGCAUCACUGGUGUUCGGGUUGUCAUGCCAAUGGCACUGCCCGGUAGCUAAAUGCGGAAGAGAUAAGUGCUGAAAGCAUCUAAGCACGAAACUUGCCCCGAGAUGAGUUCUCCCUGAGACUUUAAGUCUCCUGAAGGAACGUUGAAGACGACGACGUUGAUAGGCCGGGUGUGUAAGCGCAGCGAUGCGUUGAGCUAACCGGUACUAAUGAACCGUGAGGCUUAACCUU